AAUUUCAGGCAAAAUUGAAAAGUCAUAGGAAUUCGCCAUCCCUUGCCCCGUCCUCUCUCUCUCUUUCUCUUUUUUUUUUUUUCUUUCUUGCAUCUUCCUUCCUGCUCUGGGAAUUAAAACCUCCCACGCUCAAAUUGUGCUACCAAAUCUGGAAAGACUCUAAAAUCGGCCACUGACACUUUCAGUUCCCAAGUACUCUUGAGACUUUUAAAAUGACCCCGAGGUCACGGGCUUCCAACACGUAAGCUGUGGCCUCCGGAGAGAAAGGGCCCAGAAUUGUAAGGAACAGAACGAUUCUAAAUUGGAAAACUCUUACACGAAAAGGCUCCAAAAGAGAUUCUGUUGCUGGGAAACUCCUCUAAAAUGCCGCAGUUUUCUUCGCAGUUCCAUCGGAUUCUGCCUCAAGCGGAAACUGCUGUGCUACAAAAUGUGGGGGCAAGAGUGGAAGAGGGAGGGCACGAGAGACCCUAAAACCACAGCAACGAGCUUCAGCGACCACGUGAUUUGUUUGCGGCUCAACUGAGAUUCGCUCAGAGCCUCGUGCAGGAGGGAUACAGACAGGAAUACUACCUGCACGGUACCUUCAUGCCAUCAGGAGGCUCAGGGACUAUCCAGCUUCUUGCCCCCGUCACCCACCCCACCCCACCCUGGGUCCUACGCAGCUGCUAAGGAAGAUCAAGGUGCAGCUCUGGAGACCAGGAUUUCAUGGCAAACAAGGCAGAGAGCUACCAGCACAAGCAUUCUCUAGCUUAACUUGGCAGGUGCCAAGGAACUAGUGCCAUAAGAAGGCAGAUCCAGGGUCACCUUCCCAGACUUUACUUAAUGCAGGCACAUUUUGGUUUAAGAACACAAGAGGAAAAAAGAAUCAAAGUCCACCCCAUGGUCACCACAGGAACUAACUCGCAUCUACCAUCUCUGUGAUGAGGAAACAAACUGUUUCAUAGGGGCAUUAGAAGCAUGAAAUGUCACAGAGACCUGAAAGAACUUUUUAAAGUGAAGAGCUGAAGAGGGGGCAAGCUUUGCCGCUAUAGAUACUCUUCUAGAUUUGGAGAAUAAUAAAUACAUUAAAUGUGACAAGAGAUAAACUGAAGAAGGAACCAUUAUGCAAAAGGGAAUCAGAACAUGAAGACUUAGAAAACUCUCAGCCUCUCCCAAUAGCAAUAAAUGACAAAGGAUGUUCUGCUGAAAUACCAAGGAUGUGGCUUGGCUACCAUUUGUAAAGAAGUUAUUUGUGUGGCUCAUGGACCCAAACAACCACCUCAGCAGAAGCUGGAACAGAGAUAGGAAUCUCUGGGAAGGAUCCAGAGAAGGCCUUCUUGUCUGAUGGCUUGAAGCCUGGUGUAGGGCAUAGGUCACUAAGAAGGUUUUGACCAAUUCUAUACCAGCAGAAAACCUGCCAGCUUGGGCUGAAGGGGAUACAGAUGGGAUAAAAUGUAAAACACCAGCAAAAUGAACCAUUAAAUAACUGAUUACACUGACCUGGUUGAGUCUGACUCUAAUGUGGCUGCCAUCAUGGCCCAGAUGCCUUUGUGGCUAGAACUGUAACCAGUAAGAAACCUAAAGGAAAGGUGCUUCUGCCAUUUGCUUCUUUUACAGAGUGGGUGAGAAAUAGCUUGUUAAAAAAAAGAAAAGAAAAGAAAAGAAAAGAAAAGAAAAGAAAAGAAAAGAAAAGAAAAGAAAAGAGAAAGAAGGAACUUCUUAACCUUGUGUUUACUAUCUUGCAGGAAAAAAAGUAAUAAUUAACAUACAAAUGUUUCUGUUUUCUGUAACAGCUCCUGCUUUUCUGUCUGCAGUUUGGUAAUCUCCAUAGAUUGUGAGUUUAACUGAGACUUUAAUGUUGCCAGUUCCUAGAAGACAAAAAUAAUUGAGCUGUAACAUGAAAUAGCAUUAAUUUUAUCAAGGGAAUGUCUAUUUACAGGAAGAAAUUUAAAAUUAUUUCCUUCCUUGGCCAUUCUCUCUAAAAUCACACCUUUCAAGUUUUAACAUCUAAUUCUAAAAAAAACUGUCCUUGAACUUUAGGUUCAAGAUAGAGAAUUAACCAAGUUCAUUAUACAUAUUCACCUCGGCUUCUUCCUCAGAUACCCUGUAAAAAAAAAUUAUAAAGUGGAAGAAGAAGAGAAGGAAAGAAAGGGAAAGGGAUAAAAGGCAGGAAAGAAGGAAGGAAGAGUAAGGGAGAGAUAAACCCACAAGUACAAAAAGAAUUAAACAAUUAAACUGGGGAAUUUCAGAAAGCAAAAUGGCAAUGGUGACUGACCGCAGCAUACUAGCGAAAGCUAAAAACCUAAACAGAUGUUGAGAAAGUCACCUUGCUACCUGACUUGCAAUGCAUGAUUGCCAAAAGGCUUGUGAUCUGGUCCCACCAAGUAUUUCUGGAAAUGUGGGUAAAAAUGAGGUCAAAACCAGCAGGGCUGGCUUAAAGUCUGCUUAGGAAGACCACCAGAUCCCUGUUCCAAUCUCAUGCAUUAGGCAACCGUUCCUCUCCUCCCGGCCAGAGACUAGACAUUUAUUAUUUGGAAAGGGAGAACAGGACAUGUUUAGACUGUGAGCCACCUAAUAUAGACAAAAGUUGUUAGUACUGUAGUGAAAAGGAGGGAAUUGACAGUUUAUAUAUCAUUAAUGCUGAAAUUCCCAACCUUCUUGCCCUCUCCCCACCAAAAAUGCACACGGGAAACAUACCAAUUGUAACUAUGGUUCUCAACCAGGAGAAUCUCCCUCACAAUAUUUGACAAUAUCUGCAGACGUUAGAUAACUAAGUGGUGGGAUACUGUCAGGUAGAAAGUUCUUUUGUUCUCUUAAAACUUUCUAUCACGUCCAUGUGGCUUUCCUUUGAUCUGUUUUUUUUCAGUUAUCUAAAUGAGUUACAUAGACAUUGAGAUUACAGACAAUUAUAGUUUUCUUUUUCUAUAGGAUUUUACUAUAUAAGAAACAAAACUGUCACUUAAAGUAUCUUUUUAACACUGUUAAACUGAUAAAAGAAAAUAAAUUGCAGACAGUAAAAAACCAAAGACAAGUCUCUUGAGAAAUAUUUAAAGUUUCAAUGGAAAACAUAAAAAGUAAAAUUUUUACUUGGGAUUUACAAACUAAGGUAAUUUAUUAAUAAUUUAAUUCCCUUUAAUAUUAAUGCAGUUCUAGUGUAUGUAGACUUCAUAAAACCAAAAUGGCAUGCAUAUUAAUUUUCCUCACAAGAGCAAAAUAUGGUAGACAAAUACUGGAAUCUUCUAAAUCUUUAACAACAAUUUUUUUUUUAAAGCUUGACUGUAGACUCUACUCUGGGGUACAGGGACAUUAUCAAAAUAUGACAGUUUCACUGUGGAUAGUAAUUUUUCUCUCAGAUCAGCCAUGUCAGUGGUCAGCCAUGUCAGUGGGCUAGAACCAAAUGACUAGUGGAGGAGAAAGAAGUCAGUCCUAGGUAGGGUUGUUCACUUCUUCCUUUGGUAUUACUUAUUUUUAUUUUUUAAAAGAAACAAAAGUAACAUUCCUUUUUAUAAGAAAGGAAGGAAGGAAGGAGGGUAGGAUAGAAAAACAAAAGAAAGGAAGAAAGAAAGAAAAUUUUAUAAGUAAAAACACAACUUGUUUAGGGAUAGAUAUACUAAUGAGCAAUCUGAUACUUUUCUAGGCUUUUCUUCCAAUAUUUAAUUCUAUACAUAAGUUUUUUUUCUUCUUUCUGGCUCUUUUCUUGAACAAAUACAUUUAAUAUUCUCAUUGGAUAAAGUUAAAUUUGCACUACCUAGUUUCACAGGAAAUUAUAAAUAUUACAGAUAACCAAGUAGGAAAAAGUUUAAUUUGCUUUUCUAGAUAUUAUAAAUUACUAUAGCAGAAAAAAAGUUUGUUUUGCUCUCUAGGUAGUCAUCUAAUUGAAAUAAACACAAGUUUAUUCCCUUUUCCAAUUUUAAAAACAAACAUUCUUCUGGACAGAAUGGUUUAAACGCUCAAUACAUUUAACCAUGCAAUUAUCAUGGUCAAUAGUACAUGAACAUUAGGCAUAGGAUUUUAUAUCUUCCUAUUUGCAGCUUAUAAAUACACUUAAACUUUCCCUGUUAGUUCACUGAUAAUCUACAAAUAACUUGGAUGAGAUGCUCAAAUCUGUUAAAAGGAAUACAAUUAAAAAAUAAAAAUACUUAAUAAAAAGCAAAAUACCAUUACUAUUUAAUUAAAAAAGCUUCUGGACUUUCAAAUAACUAUCUUCACUAUCAAAUUUUGCUUACACCAACAAAGUAGUUCUAGAUUAAUGAAACUACAGGGCUGUUACUCUUAUAAUUAAAACAACACAAAAUAGUACUUGGAUCAAGCUGGAAAAUUACCUGUUUUAAUUCUGCAAUUUGUUCAGAAUCUCUAGCAGAAGCUGUUGCUGAAGAUUGUUCAUUUGUGCCAGGUGAUGUUUGGGAAGAUUUCUGCAAAUAGCAUAAAAAUAAACUAUGAAAUAAAUUCAGUCUAAAGAGAUAGGAAACAAAACUGUACACAUAUAAGCUAUGCCUUAUAGAGGUUUACCAAAAAUUUCAAAUCAACAUUUUAAUUUUUAUAUCUAAGAUAAAAUUUCAACAUAGCACACACUGUCUACAACUUUUCCAUAACUAAUAAACUUAUAUCAAAUAAGCAUAAAUAAAUCUAAGCACUUAUAUCUGAGGUCAUAUGGAGAAAGAACAUAAACAUAGGUAUUUAUUGAGUGAUUUCCAUGUAUUAAAAAAGCUUUAUACAGAAUAGCUCACUUAAUUCUUACAACAACAAAACACAACCACUACCAAUUUGUAGAUCAAGAAACAAGUUUAAAGAGGUUAACUAAGUAGUUUAAAUUCAAUUAGCUAGGAAGUGCUGAAGCUUUAUACAGUGACAUCAAAGCUCAUACUCUAGUUUUGUUUUUAAGUAAAUUCUAUGCUGAAUAUAGGGCUCAACCUCAUGACCCCAAAGUCAAGAGCCGCAUGCUUUACCAACUGAGCCAGCCAAACGCCUUCCAAAGCUCAUAUUCUAAAAUCAUACUAUGAUACUUUGGCUUAAGGGAUCCAGGAAAAUAAAGAAGCAGGGUAAUGAGAAUUAUUCUUGACCUCUUAAAUUUUUUUAGCAUUUACUCACCAAAUUUUCAAUCAGAGAGUUCUUUUCAGCCAGCUGGCUUUGUAAAAGCUCCUGGUUACUUUUUAAUUCUUCUAGCUCUUCUCGUAACCUACCGACUUCUUCUGAUUGAAUGCCAUUCACCUGAGUCUUGUCACUGUAAGAACCUUGAUGCUGAUUAUCUUUUCCUAUUAAGACAGGAAUAAAAUUUGAAAAGCCAGCAUGAAACUUAAGUUUUUGGGAUCCCUGG